UAGCCCUAGGGGAACCUGGGGCUGGAUCACCU
rnacentral:rRNA from 2 species